CCUUCGAGCCGGAUGGACUGUAGUCGACUGAGUGGAGUGGACUGUAGAUCCAUAGGUCGCUGGUUCAUAUCCGGCUCCAAGGA